UGGGGAAUAUUGCACAAUGGAGGGAACUCUGAUGCAGCGACGCCGCGUGAGUGAUGAAGGAAUUCGUUUCGUAAAACUCUGUUCUAUGGGAAGAAAAGGACUGUACCAUAGGAGAAAGCUCCGGCUAAAUACGUGCCAGCAGCCGCGGUAAUACGUAUGGAGCGAGCGUUGUCCGGAAUUAUUGGGCGUAAAGGGUGCGCAGGCGGCUUUACAAGUUGGAUGUGAAAUAUUGUGGCUCAACCACAAACGUGCAUCCAAAACUGUAAAGCUUGAGUUAAGGAGAGGUAAGUGGAAUUCCUGGUGUAGCGGUGGAAUGCGUAGAUAUCAGGAGGAAUACCGGUGGCGAAGGCGACUUACUGGACUUAAGCUGACGCUCAGGCACGAAAGCGUGGGGAGCAAACAGG
rnacentral:rRNA from 1 species